rnacentral:lncRNA from 1 species
AACAGAGAUAUAGAUUUUGAUUUUAAAAAAAUAACUGCCAAAAGAAUUACAAAACCGUUUCUUUUAAGAGGUUAUUGUUUCAUGUGCUUUGUUAUCAUACAAAUAAUAUGUGCAAAUGCAUAUGCACUUGAAAGAAGCAUCAAGCUGCCACCAGUAAAAGUCAGUUUUGCUAGUUCAAUGUAUUUUAUGAUAAAAAUUGUGCCUGUAAUGUAAUUGAAACAAUAAUAUAACUAACUCAGUCAUGAAACCUUAUUCUUCUUGUCAGUGUCUGUAUCAAGAGACGUCCCCACUGUUUGU